rnacentral:lncRNA from 1 species
GCUUCAUACUUUGUAUAUAGAUGUCUCAUGUUACGAACUUUCCGUCAGUCACACGUCCAAUGUCCUUGACCUCAUUUUAACGGUUAUGUGACCACUUGAAAAAAAAGUUCAGAAUUUUUGUAAUGUUGAAUUCUCUCUUAUUAUAAGUAAUAGGAUAACUAUAUCUGAUAUGUGCGUACCUAGCAAGCUCCUCAUGCCCGUCAGACAGUUUUCACUUGACCUCGAC